rnacentral:ncRNA from 1 species
ACUUAUCCUGGGGCUGGAGAAGGUCCCAAGGGUAUGGCUGUUCGCCAUUUAAAAAGUUACGCGAGCUGGGUUCAAACCGUACUGAGACUAAUUGCAAAAUUGGUAGAAGUGCAGUUUGAAUCCCUUCGAGUAGAAAGUUUUAGUUUUUUCGUCUAUGAAAUUAAGAAUAGAAAUCUGUCAAGGGAUAAAACUUUGGCGGAUGAGACAACCAUAAUCACGGCGGCCUAACAUUUAAAUGUUAGGACAAGCUGACUUAUAUCGGUAAAACCCUAAAAUAUUAACCAUAUUUGGGCGAUACCGAGGGAAGCAGGCACUAAUUAGUCCUUGUACCCGUAGAGACUGAAUGUCAGACAUCUCAAACUUUAGGCUAAAACAAUUUUAUAAUUGUUCGCCCGAAGAGGGAUGAAGUUACAGUCCAAUGCACUUAGUAAUAAGUGAAAACAUGCGUGAGACAGGUUGGUCUCCUAUCUGCUGCAGGCGUUGAUACUUGAGAGGAUUUGUCUCUAGUACGAGAGGACCGAGAUGAACUGACCUCUGGUCUACCGGCUGUCGUGCCAACGGCACCGCCGGGUAGCUAAGUCGGGAAAGGAUAACCGCUGAAAGCAUCUAAGCGGGAAGCCAACCUCAAGAUUAGGUAUCGUUAUGAGACCCGUGGAAGAUGACCACGUUGAUAGGCACUAGGUGUAAGCGCUGUAAGGCGUUCAGCCGUGGUGUACUAAUUCGUCCAUUCCUAUUAGGAA